rnacentral:rRNA from 1 species
UACAGAGGGUGCGAGCGUUAAUCGGAAUUACUGGGCGUAAAGCGUGCGUAGACGGUUAUCUAAGUCGGAUGUGAAGCCCCGGGCUCAACCUGGGAAUUGCAUUUGAGACUGCAUAGCUAGGGUGCGGAAGAGGGAAGCGGAAUUUCCGGUGUAGCGGUGAAAUGGCGUAGAUAUCGGGAAGGAACACCAGUGGCGGAAAGCGG